rnacentral:lncRNA from 10 species
UGCCAAGAACAGAAAAGAAUGUUGACGUGUUGCCCGGCCAGGACUCUGGGUGGAGGAGGCCCCUUCUCUGCCGGCCCCGCCUCUGCUGGGAGCAGCCACAGCCUGUGGCUGGGGUGCUGGGAUUUCUUCCUGGUCAUCAAAGAGAAACGUACAAACCUCAAGGACCCAGACACACAGUGGGUGGCCAGGGCAGACCCCACAGCAGACCCCAUGGCUCGCCUGAGCUCUGGCAGCUGCCCCACUGCUCCUUCCAUCCUUGCCCCAAUCCCCCAAUGCUUGUUUUGAUUGUUUUCUUAAAAAAUAUAAUUUUGUAAAUGUUCCAUAAAAAUACUAUUAUUCCUAGUCAAACACAGAUAUUGCAAUAUGAAGAGUAACUGCUCUGUCUUUGCUCUAUAAAACGUGAAAAGAUUAUCACACUGGAUAAUAUAGAAAAGAUGCCAGGGUUCCUAAGUAUCACAAAAGCCAGUACCAAAUGCGCAAGGUGGAAGUGGGGCCGGGGCAGGGUCGGGCUGGGCAGGGCAGCAGCCUGGGUUCCUCCCGGCUCGACUGCGGAGCGCGACUCG